UCCCUGGUGGCUCAACGGUAAAGCGUCUGCCUGCAAUGCGGGAGACCCGGGUUCGAUUCCUGGGUUGGGAA
rfam:Ovis aries breed Texel chromosome 6, whole genome shotgun sequence.